rnacentral:rRNA from 1 species
ACUCCUACGGGAGGCAGCAGUGGGGAAUAUUGGACAAUGGGCGCAAGCCUGAUCCAGCCAUGCCGCGUGAGUGAUGAAGGCCCUAGGGUUGUAAAGCUCUUUCACCGGUGAAGAUAAUGACGGUAACCGGAGAAGAAGCCCCGGCUAACUUCGUGCCAGCAGCCGCGGUAAUACGAAGGGGGCUAGCGUUGUUCGGAUUUACUGGGCGUAAAGCGCACGUAGGCGGACUAUUAAGUCAGGGGUGAAAUCCCGGGGCUCAACCCCGGAACUGCCUUUGAUACUGGUAGUCUUGAGUUCGAGAGAGGUGAGUGGAAUUCCGAGUGUAGAGGUGAAAUUCGUAGAUAUUCGGAGGAACACCAGUGGCGAAGGCGGCUCACUGGCUCGAUACUGACGCUGAGGUGCGAAAGCGUGGGGAGCAAACAGGAUUAGAAACCCGGGUAGUCCCAUGAU